GCCCUUGUGGCGCAAUCGGUAGCGCGUAAGACUUGCAAGUGCCCCUCCAUAAAAUCACUCGUUUCGAACCUUUACUAACUGUCCUCUAGCUAAUCUUAAGGCUGUGGGUUCGAGCCCCACCAGGGGCU
rnacentral:tRNA from 1 species